rnacentral:rRNA from 1 species
AGCGAACGCUGGCGGCAGGCUUAACACAUGCAAGUCGAGCGGGCAUCCUUGUGGUGUCAGCGGCAGACGGGUGAGUAACGCGUGGGAACGUGCCCUUCGGUUCGGAAUAACUCAGGGAAACUUGAGCUAAUACCGGAUACGUGCGAGAGCAGAAAGGUUUAUCUGCCGAAGGAUCGGCCCGCGUCUGAUUAGCUAGUUGGUGAGGUUACGGCUCACCAAGGCGACGAUCAGUAGCUGGUCUGAGAGGAUGAUCAGCCACACUGGGACUGAGACACGGCCCAGACUCCUACGGGAGGCAGCAGUGGGGAAUAUUGGACGAUGGGGGCAACCCUGAUCCAGCCAUGCCGCGUGAGUGGUGACGGCCUUAGGGUUGUAAAGCUCUUUUCUCCGGGACGAUAAUGACGGUACCGGAGGAAUAAGCCCCGGCUAACUUCGUG